rnacentral:rRNA from 1 species
GGAGUAUGGACCGUGUCUCAGUUCCAUUGUGGGGGACCUUCCUCUCAGAACCCCUACCCAUCGUCGCCUCGGUGGGCCGUUACCCCGCCGACUAGCUAAUGGGACGCGAGCCAAUCCGUGACCACCACGGUUUUCUAAUCAGUCCUCAUGCGGGAACCGAUCAUAUGGGGGGUUAGGGCGAC